AAGAUGCUAAUACCGGAUAACAACAGAUGAUGCCUAUCAACUAGUUUAAAGAUGGUUCUGCCUAUCACUCUUGGAUGGACCUGCGGUGCAUUAGCUAGUUGGUAGGGUAACGGCCUACCAAGGCGAUGAUGCAUAGCCGAGUUGAGAGACUGAUCGGCCACAUUGGGACUGAGACACGGCCCAAACUCCUACGGGAGGCAGCAGCG
rnacentral:rRNA from 1 species